GGUGCGGUGGCUCAACUCGGUACAGCGCUGAGCUGAUGCCUCAGUGAGACAGACCACGUCUCUUGCGGGUUCAAAUCCCGCCCGCACCG
rnacentral:tRNA from 1 species